UACAGAGGGUGCAAGCGUUAAUCGGAAUGACUGGGCGUAAAGGGCGCGUAGGUGGUUGCCUAAGUUAGAUGUGAAAGCCCCGGGCUUAACCUGGGAACUGCAUCUAAUACUGGGCGGCUUGAGUAGAGUAGAGGGGAGUGGAAUUUCCGGUGUAGCGGUGGAAUGCGUAGAUAUCGGAAGGAACACCAGUGGCGAAGGCGGCGAUCUGGGUCGAUACUGACGCUGAGGUGCGAAAGCGUGGGGAGCAAACAGG
rnacentral:rRNA from 1 species